rnacentral:rRNA from 1 species
UACGGAGGGUGCAAGCGUUAUCCGGAUUCACUGGGUUUAAAGGGUGCGUAGGUGGGUUGGUAAGUCAGUGGUGAAAUCUCCGUGCUUAACAUGGAAACUGCCAUUGAUACUACUGGUCUUGAAUUUUCUGGAGGUAAGCGGAAUAUGUCAUGUAGCGGUGAAAUGCUUAGAUAUGACAUAGAACACCAAUUGCGAAGGCAGCUCACUACUCAAUCAUUGACUCUGAGGCACGAAAGCGUGGGGAUCAAACAGG